UGGGGAAUUUUAGACAAUGGGGGAAACCCUGAUCCAGCCAUGCCGCGUGUGUGAAGAAGGCCUUCGGGUUGUAAAGCACUUUCGGACGGAACGAAAUCGCACGGGUGAAUAUCCCGUGUGGAUGACGGUACCGUAAGAAGAAGCACCGGCUAACUACGUGCCAGCAGCCGCGGUAAUACGUAGGGUGCGAGCGUUGUUCGGAUUUACUGGGCGUAAAGGGCGCGUAGGCGGCAUGACAAGUCACUUGUGAAAUCUCUGGGCUUAACCCAGAACGGCCAAGUGAUACUGUCGCGCUAGAGUGCAGAAGGGGCAAUCGGAAUUCUUGGUGUAGCGGUGAAAUGCGUAGAUAUCAAGAGGAACACCUGAGGUGAAGACGGGUUGCUGGGCUGACACUGACGCUGAGGCGCGAAAGCCAGGGGAGCAAACGGGAUUAGAUACCCGCGUAGUCCUGAGCGGGCUGGCAAGGCGCAU
rnacentral:rRNA from 1 species